GAUGAAGAACGUAGCGAAAUGCGAUAAGUAGUGUGAAUUGCAGAAUUUAGUGAAUCAUCGAAUCUUUGAACGCACAUUGCGCCCUUUGGUAUUCCUUAGGGCAUGCCUGUUCGAGCGUCAUCUACACCCUCAAGCACAGCUUGGUGAUGGGCGCCUGUCCCGCCCCCCACGGGGGCGCGGACUCGCCUCAAAUGCAUUGGCGGCCGGCGACCUGGCUUCGAGCGCAGCAGAAACGCGUACUCGGGGACCGGGCGCCCGCUCCCAGAAGCCAACCCACCCAGUUUGACCUCGGAUCAGGUAGGGAUACCCGCUGAACUUAAGCAUAUCAAUAAGCGGGGA
rnacentral:misc_RNA from 1 species